rnacentral:rRNA from 1 species
GACGAACGCUGGCGGCGUGCCUAACACAUGCAAGUCGAGCGAUGAAACCCUUCGGGGUGGAUUAGCGGCGGACGGGUGAGUAACACGUGGGUAACCUACCUCAAAGAGGGGGAUAGCCUCCCGAAAGGGAGAUUAAUACCGCAUAACAUUAGUUUUUCGCAUGAAGAACUAAUUAAAGGAGUAAUCCGCUUUGAGAUGGACCCGCGGCGCAUUAGCUAGUUGGUGAGGUAAAGGCUCACCAAGGCGACGAUGCGUAGCCGACCUGAGAGGGUGAUCGGCCACAUUGGAACUGAGAUACGGUCCAGACUCCUACGGGAGGCAGCAGUGGGGAAUAUUGCACAAUGGGCGAAAGCCUGAUGCAGCAACGCCGCGUGAGUGAUGAAGGCCUUCGGGUUGUAAAGCUCUGUCUUUGGGGACGAUAAUGACGGUACCCAAGGAGGAAGCCACGGCUAACUACGUGCCAGCAGCCGCGGUAAUACGUAGGUGGCAAGCGUUGUCCGGAUUUACUGGGCGUAAAGGAUGCGUAGGCGGAUAUUUAAGUCAGAUGUGAAAACCCCGAGCUUAACUUGGGGACUGCAUUUGAAACUGGAUAUCUAGAGUGUGGGAGAGGAGAAUGGAAUUCCUAGUGUAGCGGUGAAAUGCGUAGAGAUUAGGAAGAACACCAGUGGCGAAGGCGAUUCUCUGGACCAUAACUGACGCUGAGGCAUGAAAGCGUGGGUAGCAAACAGGAUUAGAUACCCUGGUAGUCCACGCCGUAAACGAUGAGUACUAGGUGUAGGAGGGUCCAACCUUCUGUGCCGCAGUUAACACAAUAAGUACUC